rnacentral:lncRNA from 1 species
UGACGACGACGACGACGACAAUGGCGUCGGCCGGAUGCCCGCACCCCCGUUCGACGAUCCUGUACCCAGACCUGCCAUGCGAUCCCGACGUGUGUGCCAAGAGUUGCGCCAAGGGAUUGAACAACGGCAACGGCACCUGCGUGAGGCCGAUUGGAUGUGAUUGCGUGUUCUGCGUGCCAGAAACCGUCGCAAAACGCCCGGCUGUCUCUACGCGUAUGCUGUGCACUACUACCAUUUCGAUUUAAUUUCACGCAUUGAAGUAAUGAUUCAUCCACACUCUUGCUACUUUGUUUGUGUCGGAAAUCCCACAGGUUUGACGACGACGACGACGACAAUGGCGUCGGCCGGAUGCCCGCACCCCCGUUCGACGAUCCUGUACCCAGACCUGCCCUGCGAUCCCGACGUGUGUGCCAAGAGUUGCGCCAAGGGAUUGAACAACGGCAACGGCACCUGCGUGAGGCCGAUUGGAUGUGAUUGCGUGUUCUGCGUGCCAACAGCCGGCCAAGCUGCACGUACAACGUAGCUACCCCGAUUUGGACCCGGCGUUCGCGAGUUUUUUUUUACAAGAGCAAUGGCGGAGAUGUAGUUAAUAAUCAUGUACUAGCAGCACUAUAGUUUCGAGCAGAGAAGACUGUGGAAUCUUUGCGUCAGAAGAUAUAUAGCCGUGAGAUUGAAAGCUGAGUUCUUUUAUAUUUUGAACGUAAUGGCAAGAACUCUAACUUUUGAUGAAGAAUAAGAAAUAGAAUUGACUCGGUUUUAAAGAAAAACUGGGUCCAAAAU